rnacentral:lncRNA from 1 species
GGGAAAAACGAAAACAAACACCCUCGCGCCUCGCGCCUCCGACUCCCAGACCCCACGACCCGGCUCCGGCGCUGGUUUGGCGGCCUGGGUGGGAGAAGGCACCUCGCCCCGGACCCCCUAUGCCCCGCAGCUCAGUGACUCUUCCCCUCGCCCUCCGCCUUCCCCGCCGCAGCCCGGCUCCGCCUCCCAAUGGGGAAACAUCCCAAAAAAGGGCAGAAAAGAAAUUUCAGCAUAAAGUUGGCCCACUGGGAAAGAGAGGAGCGUCCGCGGGGAGCGGGGGAGAAGAGGGAAGGCGCGC